UGGGGAAUUUUUCGCAAUGGGGGAAACCCUGACGAAGCAACGCCGCGUGGAGGAUGAAGGCCUUCGGGUCGUAAACUCCUGUCGACCGGGACGAACGUAGUCUGGCCCAAUACGCCGGGCUAUCGACUGUACCGGUAAAGGAAGCUCCGGCUAACUCUGUGCCAGCAGCCGCGGUAAUACAGAGGGAGCAAGCGUUGUUCGGAAUUACUGGGCGUAAAGGGCGCGUAGGCGGUCUUGUAAGUCCCGUGUGAAAUCCCUCGGCUCAACUGAGGAACUGCACGGGAAACUGCGAGGCUUGAGUUCGGGAGAGGGAAGCGGAAUUCCGGGUGUAGCGGUGAAAUGCGUAGAUAUCCGGAGGAACACCGGUGGCGAAGGCGGCUUCCUGGACCGACACUGACGCUGAGGCGCGAAAGCUAGGGGAGCAAACGG
rnacentral:rRNA from 1 species